UGCAAGUAGAACGCUGAAGAGAGGAGCUUGCUCUUCUUGGAUGAGUUGCGAACGGGUGAGUAACGCGUAGGUAACCUGCCUUGUAGCGGGGGAUAACUAUUGGAAACGAUAGCUAAUACCGCAUAACAAUGGAUGACCCAUGUCAUUUAUUUGAAAGGGGCAAAUGCUCCACUACAAGAUGGACCUGCGUUGUAUUAGCUAGUAGGUGAGGUAACGGCUCACCUAGGCGACGAUACAUAGCCGACCUGAGAGGGUGAUCGGCCACACUGGGACUGAGACACGGCCCAGACUCCUACGGGAGGCAGCAGUAGGGAAUCUUCGGCAAUGGGGGCAACCCUGACCGAGCAACGCCGCGUGAGUGAAGAAGGUUUUCGGAUCGUAAAGCUCUGUUGUAAGUCAAGAACGAGUGUGAGAGUGGAAAGUUCACACUGUGACGGUAGCUUACCAGAAAGGGACGGCUAACUACGUGCCAGCAGCCGCGGUAAUACGUAGGUCCCGAGCGUUGUCCGGAUUUAUUGGGCGUAAAGCGAGCGCAGGCGGUUUGAUAAGUCUGAAGUUAAAGGCUGUGGCUCAACCAUAGUUCGCUUUGGAAACUGUCAAACUUGAGUGCAGAAGGGGAGAGUGGAAUUCCAUGUGUAGCGGUGAAAUGCGUAGAUAUAUGGAGGAACACCGGUGGCGAAAGCGGCUCUCUGGUCUGUAACUGACGCUGAGGCUCGAAAGCGUGGGGAGCGAACAGGAUUAGAUACCCUGGUAGUCCACGCCGUAAACGAUGAGUGCUAGGUGUUGGAUCCUUUCCGGGAUUCAGUGCCGCAGCUAACGCAUUAAGCACUCCGCCUGGGGAGUACGACCGCAAGGUUGAAACUCAAAGGAAUUGACGGGGGCCCGCACAAGCGGUGGAGCAUGUGGUUUAAUUCGAAGCAACGCGAAGAACCUUACCAGGUCUUGACAUCCCGAUGCUAUUUCUAGAGAUAGAAAGUUACUUCGGUACAUCGGUGACAGGUGGUGCAUGGUUGUCGUCAGCUCGUGUCGUGAGAUGUUGGGUUAAGUCCCGCAACGAGCGCAACCCCUAUUGUUAGUUGCCAUCAUUCAGUUGGGCACUCUAGCGAGACUGCCGGUAAUAAACCGGAGGAAGGUGGGGAUGACGUCAAAUCAUCAUGCCCCUUAUGACCUGGGCUACACACGUGCUACAAUGGUUGGUACAACGAGUUGCGAGUCGGUGACGGCAAGCUAAUCUCUUAAAGCCAAUCUCAGUUCGGAUUGUAGGCUGCAACUCGCCUACAUGAAGUCGGAAUCGCUAGUAAUCGCGGAUCAGCACGCCGCGGUGAAUACGUUCCCGGGCCUUGUACACACCGCCCGUCACACCACGAGAGUUUGUAACACCCGAAGUCGGUGAGGUAACCUUUUGGAGCCAGCCGCCUAAGGUGGGAUAGAUGAU
rnacentral:rRNA from 1 species